rnacentral:rRNA from 1 species
CGAACCAGUUUCCGUUGAAAAGGAUUUGGAUGACGUGUGGGUAGGGGUGAAAGGCCAAUCAAACUGAGAAAUAGCUCGUACUCCCCGAAAUGUUUUUAGGAACAGCCUCGAGGUUGAGUCUUAUAGAGGUAGAGCUACUGAUUGGGCUAGGGGGCUUCACCGCCUACCAAACCCUGACAAACUCCGAAUGCUAUAAGAUAUACUCGGGAGUGAGCCCAUGGGUGCUAAGGUCCGUGGGCGAGAGGGAAACAACCCAGACCAUCAGCUAAGGUCCCCAAAUGUAUGUUAAGUUGAUUGAACGUGGUCCGACUGCAUUGACAGCUAGGAUGUUGGCUUGGAAGCAGCCAUUCAUUUAAAGAGUGCGUAACAGCUCACUAGUCGAGCGGUUGGGCGUGGAUAAUAAUCGGGCAUCAAACAUACUACCGAAGCUAUGGAUUGCAAUGAAUAAUUGCACUGGUAGGGGAGCAUUCUAACAGCAUUGAAGGUGUGGCGUCAGCCAUGCUGGAGCAGUUAGAAAAGCAAAUGUAGGCAUAAG